CGGCAGGCCUAACACAUGCAAGUCGGAGGGGUAGAGUUAGCUUCGCUAACUUGAGACCGGCGCACGGGUGCGUAACGCGUAUGACAAUCUACCUUGUACAGAGGGAUACGCCCAGAGUAAAUUUGGAUUAAUACCUCAUAGUAUCUUUACCUGGCAUCGGGUAAUUAUUAAAGUUCCGACGGUGAUGGAUGAACAUGCGACUGAUUAGUCUGUUGGUGAGGUAACGGCUCACCAAGACUACGAUCAGUAGGGGUACUGAGAGGUUAAACCCCCCACACUGGUACUGAGACACGGACCAGACUCCUACGGGAGGCAGCAGUAAGGAAUAUUAGACAAUGGCCGCAAGGCUGAUCCAGCCAUGCCGCGUGCAGGAAGACGGACCUAUGGUUUGUAAACUGCUUUUGAACGGGACGAAAACCCCCCUACGUGUAGGGGGCUGAUAGUACUGUUAGAAUAAGCAUCGGCCAACUUCGUG
rnacentral:rRNA from 1 species